UACGUAGGGGGCAAGCGUUGUCCGGAAUCAUUGGGCGUAAAGAGCGUGUAGGCGGCCCGAUAAGUCCGCCGUGAAAGUCCAGGGCUCAACCCUGGGAUGCCGGUGGAAACUGUCGGGCUAGAGUCCGGAAGAGGCGAGUGGAAUUCCCGGUGUAGCAGUGAAAUGCGUAGAUAUCGGGAGGAAUACCGAUGGCGAAGGCAGGUCUCUGGGCUGACACUGACGCUCAUGCACGAAAGCGUGGGGAGCAAACAGG
rnacentral:rRNA from 1 species